UGUCGCCGUAACCCUAUCCGUGUUUGGCUUGGCUUCCCGGUCCUCUCCUCUACGACUUCCUUACGCCCUUUUAAUUUAUUGACGAAACCGCACCAAACCCUACUCACCGCAGAUGAUCCACUUGAACUCCCAAUCCUCCUAGAACCCUAGCCUCUCUCCACUCGCUACAAGUCCUGCCUAAUUAUCUGGAUUUUUUAUUAUACUGUAAACCUUAGAGCUCUUCGUUUUCAGCCAUGGACGCGCAGCGAGCUUUGCUAGACGCACUCAUGGGAUCAGAAUCAUAUUCGUUGAUGUUAUUCGGAUGUUUGCUUCGAGGAGUAGAAUUUAUUCAAUGUCAGUUAACUGAAUAUUUUGCGCUUACUGGUGGAUAUUUAGCUCGUAACUUGACGGAGGAAGAGAGAAAGGGAUACAAGGAACUCACAUGGGAAGAUAGGGAGGUUUGUCGAUUCCAUAUGGUUCGGUUUUGUCCUCAUGACCUCUUUGUGAACACUCGGAGUGAUCUCGGUCCAUGCCCAAGAAUUCAUGAUCAGAAGUUGAAAGAAAGUUUUGAGAAUUCUCCAAGGCAUGAGGCUUAUGUCCCCAAGUUUGAAGCUGAACUUGCUCAGUUCUGUGAGAAAUUGGUGAUGGACUUGGAUAGAAAAGUUAGGCGUGGACGCGAACGCCUUGCUCAAGAGUUGGAGCCUGCACCUGUUACUCCCUUGGCAGCUGAAAAAUCUGAACAGCUAUCUGUGUUGGAAGAAAAGAUAAAGAACCUGCUGGGGCAAGUUGAGGCUCUUGGUGAAGCUGGAAGGGUUGAUGAAGCUGAAGCUCUUAUGAGAAAGGUGGAGCUACUGAAUGCAGAAAAGACAGUUUUGACACAACCACCACAAAAUAAUGCCUUAAUGCUUGCACAAGAGAAGAAGAUGGCUUUAUGUGAGAUAUGUGGUUCCUUUCUAGUGGCAAAUGAUGUUAUAGAGAGGAGUCAGUCUCAUGUUUCAGGGAAGCAGCAUGUUGGUUAUGGCAUGGUUCGGGAUUUCAUAGCCGAGUUUAAGGGGGCCAAGGAGAAGGCAAGAGAAGAGGAAAGGUUAACAAGGGAGAAAGAAACUGAAGAACGGAGGAAACAGAAGGAGAAGGAAACUGAGAGGAGGAGUCAUUCACAGGAUAGGGAUAGGGACAGGUAUCAUGAUCGAGACAGAGACAGAGACAGGGAGCGGGAUCGACAUAGAGGACGUGACAGGAGGUCACGAGAGUGGAAUGACAGGAGUAGUCGGGAUGAUGCAAGGGAAAUGGAACGCAGGUCCAGAAAUGGAAAAGACCGAAGCAGGGAUAGGUACCGUGACCGAAGCAGGUCGCAUUCCCCUGUUAGACAUAGUUACAGGAAGUCAUCUAGAAGUCCAGUUCGCUAAUAUUAAUGGGUUGUGUUGAUAGAUGUCUGAACUUUGACAUUUGAGGUAGUCUUUUUUUCCCAGGUUUUGAACAUGUUCUUUCAGAAACUCCGGUUAAUGUUUGUCGUGGGUGAAAAUUUUCUUUGCUAUCUCACAGCUUUGUUGAGACCUGAGAUUAUACCAUAUCACUUUCAUCAAAUAUUAUGAGAGGAUAAAAGGAUUCAGGGUGGACUCUAUAUGCUUGAAUGACACUGCUGCCAAGAGAAGUGGCUUUAUUUAUCAGUAUUGAGGUAACAAAGUAAUUUUUAUCUCCAUCAUCAUCAUACAUUUGCUUAUUUUUUUUGAUAUCACAUUUUGAUGUGGUUGGUCCAAAGCCAAAUUGUGUUUGGAGCCAGUGCUUUAUUGGUGGAAUUUACUGAAUUUUGAAAGAGAGGGGUGAUGGUGGUUUGGCCAUUCAGGGAUGAUUUUUGUAGGCCCCUUGCACAUUUCAGGUGUCCCAGUAAAUUUACUAUUUCAAAUCCAUCGUCGGAUAACGAGGUAGGAAGGCUCUUUAUUCUUUAGUUUUUGUCCGCUCCUGCCAUUUAUACAUCAGUUCAUGGAGCUUGAAUGGCGAACUAUACAUGCAUCUUUAUUUGAUUGGGCAAGUAUAGAAACCAAACUAUAUGUGCGAUCCACGGUAAAGAGUAGGGAUUUAGAAUUCCAGAAUGGAGUCAGUUUAUAUAGAUAACUUAGUAACUACAAGUACGUGCACUUGAGUGGAAUUAUUAAAAGUCGGAUUUGGAGGGGUGUUUUUGCUCUUUGCAUUAAAUAUAGUUCGGUACGUAUUUGUCAUAAAAUGGAGAUUCUUUCGUUUCCUUCCUUACCCUCUAAAAAAGAGCGAUUGAGAGUGGAUUUCAGGUUCAAUAGUGUCGAGAAGGUAUUAGCCACCGGUGAUCGUACUUUCAUAAAAGCACCAUUGGGCGGUGCCGUGCAAAACCUAGGCUCAACACUUUAGAGGUAACUAGAACUCAUUAUCUGGCAGAUAGCAUUUCUGAUUCCAUUUUGCAGGAGAGAUGGUGUAUCCUGAAACUUUAAUGCCAUAGAAAUCGUAAGCAUAUGCGGCGCACGACAGUGAGGUAUAUGCUUUUUGCAGGGUACUUGAAUUUAUCCAGCACCAGCGGUUAUUGGCCAGUGGACAACAUUUGAAAUACAUGGUAAUUUGAGAACCUAGCGUAUUUUAAAAUUCUAUCGAUCUUGCAUCCAAUCUUGUAAUAGCAAGCAACAAAAAUAUCUGUCAACUUCUUUAUGCAGUGAGAGGAAAUGGAAAGAAAAGAAAAGAUUCUUACAUGUAACAUGCGGUAGUAUUUCAUUGGGAGAGGAGCGAAGAUGUAAACAAAAUGAUUCUCGAAAGACAAAAACACAAGUGACGUCUCACUUUCUCCCUUUCUUUCUAGCUAUCAUUCUUCUUGGCCCUUCAAACCCAAAGUUUGUUUAUUGUUGUGAUUUGAUGGAACCGAUUCUUAUCCAAUAAAUUUGUUGGUCUCUGUGCAUCUUAGAAUUGCCUUCAGGAGUUUGACCCAUUUUAAUGUGCAGAUAGAAUGAAUAUUUUUAGGACUUGCAACCAGCGAAUUCUGUGAGCGUAAUUGUGAAUAAUCUUCUCCAGAUGUGAAAUGAACGUUGUUUUCUUUCAGCGUUACAUGCUUUUAUCACUUGUAAUUGGGUACGUAUCCCUUGUAUACCAAACAUUUUGAAGGCUUGCAAUGCAUGAUAUGGGUCCUAGUCUCACCUCUUCUCAUCA